GAUGAACGCUGGCGGCGUGCUUAACACAUGCAAGUCGAACGGUGAAGGCGGAGCUUGCUCUGCUGGAUCAGUGGCGAACGGGUGAGUAACACGUGAGCAAUCUGCCCCUGACUCUGGGAUAAGCGCUGGAAACGGCGUCUAAUACUGGAUACGAGCUGCGAAGGCAUCUUCAGCAGCUGGAAAGAACUUCGGUCAGGGAUGAGCUCGCGGCCUAUCAGCUUGUUGGUGAGGUAACGGCUCACCAAGGCGUCGACGGGUAGCCGGCCUGAGAGGGUGACCGGCCACACUGGGACUGCGACACGCCCCAGACUCCUACGGGAGGCAGCAGUGGGGAAUAUUGCACAAUGGGCGAAAGCCUGAUGCAGCAACGCCGCGUGAGGGACGACGGCCUUCGGGUUGUAAACCUCUUUUAGCAGGGAAGAAGCGAAAGUGACGGUACCUGCAGAAAAAGCGCCGGCUAACUACGUG
rnacentral:rRNA from 1 species